CUUUAGAACCUGUGCCUGCUCAGUUACAAUAGAGAUAUUUGAAGCUCCUUGUACCCCGGGGACGCCAUUAUGACAAGCAACUUCUAAGUUAGCCUACUUUCCGACGAGAAGAGACACGCACCUAAACCCUACUUUAUAGCCCAGCAGAAAGAAAGGUGUGUCCACGUCUACCUCAGGCAGUGUCCAGGGUGCCAGUCCACAAUAAGGAUGGCACACAGAAAGGAAGAGUGACCACCACACAAGUGACGGAAAAGGUGCACAGAGCGUAAGAUCUAAGGGGUCGUUGCUGGAAAGGGUGGGAGCUCUAAGAAAGAAGCGAGAAGGGGCUAUAAGAAAAAAAGCCAGGAGAGGGAUGGGGGCGGAGCACUAAGAAGAAAGCAAAUAGCAGCCCUUAGAAGGAGCGCAGCCACACAUGAAGACUGUUAUAGGCUCGUGAGGGACCAGGAAACCUCACAGCAGAGUGAACUUGAAGACAGGCCAGAAAGUACCACCUAGGAAAAAUACAAGGAUACAGGAGUUGGGGGCAAUGUGAACCAGUCUAUGGUAUGCCCUGCAGUAAUCUUGGGAGGACAAGACAGAGAGGGUAGGGCAGACAAGAUGUUUGAAGAAACAUUCUUUA
rnacentral:lncRNA from 1 species